UACGUAGGGUGCAAGCGUUAAUCGGAAUUACUGGGCGUAAAGCGUGCGCAGGCGGUUGUGCAAGACAGAUGUGAAAUCCCCGGGCUUAACCUGGGAACUGCAUCCGAUACUGGAUGGCUUGAAUUCGGGAGAGGGAUGCAGAAUUCCAGGUGUAGCGGUGAAAUGCGUAGAUAUCUGGAGGAAUACCGGUGGCGCAGGCGGCAUCCUGGACCGACAUUGACGCUGAACGGCGAAAGCUAGGGGAGCAAACGGG
rnacentral:rRNA from 1 species